ACACCAGUUGGCAAAUCAACAUCUCCAGGAGAUCAUAUCUUAAAUGUGAAGUGAGCAGUUAAUGUUCCUAAACUACCUCUUAUUUUAAAGCCAUAGGAAAUCUUUUUUUUUUUUUUUUUUUUUUUUUGAGGCGGGGGAUAUCUUCCCAAACUCCUUGCAUGACAAGAAAUCUGCACAGAAGAUAGGAAGACCGGGUCACCCUGGGCCCCCUCAGCGACGUGGUUGCUUUAUGUUCUGUUGAGAAACCAUGGAGCCACUAUGCGAAGAAAGCCUGUUCUUUUUACUGGUGCCAAGAAAAAGAUUAGCUGGGCAUGGUGGCUCACGCCUGUAUUCCAAUUACUUUGGGAGACCGAGGUGAGAGGAUCACUGGAGCCCAGGAG
rnacentral:lncRNA from 1 species